UAUUACCGCAUGCUGUGGCUCCAGCAAUGGAGCGGAGCAGCACAGUCUGUGGAAAUAGAAGCUUCUACAUUUUUGGUUUUGGUCCAGGUGAAGCUUUCCUCAUCCAGACAGAGGACGAGACUGGAUUACAGUUGAAGCAGCAGCAGCUUCAACCUGGCGCUGCUCUGUAACCAACCGUAGAAGCACGAUCCCAUUGCUGUAUAAAGAGGCCUGCUGUGAGCCAAUGAACUGGGCAGGAGGUGUUUGGGGUGGGGGCCUGCACGGUGCGCUUGUGAAAGACCCUCGCAUGCUACAACUCCAAGAGGUCCUGGAAUAGCAUGCAGGCACGGUUACUGGGGCAACAUGAUGGUGCAACAUGGUGGAUCCAAGAAAAAGGACCUGCUCCUGAUGCAGAUUUGAAAAGCUCAUUCUCACUACUUCCUGUCCUGCACACUGGACCUUUAGAAAUGACCAAAACAGGAAGACAUGACCAACCUGAACUUAAAAGAAAGGUUUAAUGACAAAUUUUGAAACUAUUCUGUGAAGACCUACAAUGUUCAGGAUAUAUAUGUCCAACUAGUCUUACUGCCCCUAGACAGAGCUGUUGUCUCAGUGCCCAUAUAAUAAAACUGCAGCUCAUUGAAUUAAAACUACAUCCUGUUUUGUGAAGUGUAA